GUUGAAAGCUGUUCUUGUUCUGUCGACUGUGUGAAUUUGAAUGGCGACUGUUCGGUUUUGAGCACUGCAGUGCAGGGUGGAGGAGGAGGAGGAGCCUGUCCAGGGUCUGAGCACUGCAAUGCAGGGUGGAGGAGGGGGAGGAGCCUGUCCAGGGUCUGAGCACUGCAAUGCAGGGUGGAGGAGGGGGAGGAGCCUGUCCAGGGUCUGAGCACUGCAAUGCAGGCUGGAGGAGGAGGAGGAGCCUGUCCAGGGUCUGAGCACUGCACUACAGGGUGGAGGAGGAGGAGCCUGUCCAGGGUCUGAGCACUACACUGCAGGGUGGAGGAGGAGAAGGAGCCUGUCCAGGGUCUGAGCACUGCACUGCAGGGUGGAGGAGGAGGAGGAGCCUGUCCAGGGUCUGAGCACUGCACUGCAGGGUGGAGGCGGAGGAGGAGCCUGUCCAGGGUCUAAGCACUGCACUGCAGGGUGGAGGAGGAGCCUGUCCAGGGUCUAAGCACUGCACUGCAGGGUGGAGUGGGGGUGGUGGAGGAGGGCUGCACUGGGUUUACAGCAUGUCUCAUAGUCAGGUGACUUCUGAGCCCGGACAUGUGACGGUCUUGUCUGGGUCUAUUUGAUUGAUCAGCGUUUUCUUCUUCUUCUUUUUUUUUGCCUUUGAAAAAUAGUUAGUAGAUCAUUAUGUAAGGUAUCAUUAUUGUAGUUAUAUGUAGACAAACAUAGCCUACUCAUUAUCCCCCCCCCCCCCCACACACACACACACACACACACACACAUAUGACUAAAAAGGUUGCAGUUGAAAAUGAGAACUUGUUCUCAACUGGCCUACCCGGUUAAAUUAAGUUGAAAUAAAUAAAACAAAUCAAUCAAUCAAAAGGCUAUAA
rnacentral:lncRNA from 1 species